rnacentral:rRNA from 1 species
AUUGAACGCUGGCGGCAGGCUUAACACAUGCAAGUCGAGCGGGGUGAUGGUGCUUGCACUAUCACUUAGCGGCGGACGGGUGAGUAAUGCUUAGGAAUCUGCCUAUUAGUGGGGGACAACAUCUCGAAAGGGAUGCUAAUACCGCAUACGUCCUACGGGAGAAAGCAGGGGAUCACUUGUGACCUUGCGCUAAUAGAUGAGCCUAAGUCGGAUUAGCUAGUUGGUGGGGUAAAGGCCUACCAAGGCGACGAUCUGUAGCGGGUCUGAGAGGAUGAGCCGCCACACUGGGACGGAGACACGGCCCAGACACCUACGGGAGGCAGCAGUGGGGAAUAUUGGACAAUGGGGGGAACCCUGAUCCAGCCAUGCCGCGUGUGUGAAGAAGGCCUUAUGGUUGUAAAGCACUUUAAGCGAGGAGGAGGCUCUUUUGGUUAAUACCCAAGAUGAGUGGACGUUACUCGCAGAAUAAGCACCGGCUAACUCUGUGCCAGCAGCCGCCGUAA